UUGGUGCCUUCGGGAACUCUGAGACAGGUGCUGCAUGGCUGUCGUCAGCUCGUGUUGUGAAAUGUUGGGUUAAGUCCCGCAACGAGCGCAACCCUUAUCCUUUGUUGCCAGCGGUCCGGCCGGGAACUCAAAGGAGACUGCCAGUGAUAAACUGGAGGAAGGUGGGGAUGACGUCAAGUCAUCAUGGCCCUUACGAGUAGGGCUACACACGUGCUACAAUGGCGCAUACAAAGAGAAGCGACCUCGCGAGAGCAAGCGGACCUCAUAAAGUGCGUCGUAGUCCGGAUUGGAGUCUGCAACUCGACUCCAUGAAGUCGGAAUCGCUAGUAAAUCGUGGAUCAGAAUGCCACGGUGAAUACGUUCCCGGGCCUUGUACACACCGCCCGUCACACCAUGGGAGUGGGUUGCAAAAGAAGUAGGUAGCUUAACCUUCGGGAGGGCGCUUACCACUUUGUGAUUCAUGACUGGGGUGAAGUCGUAACAAGGUAACCGUAGGGGAACCUGCGGUUGGAUCACCUCCUUACCUUAAAAAA
rnacentral:rRNA from 1 species